rnacentral:ribozyme from 14 species
AAGAAAAAAAAAAAAAAGGAAGUGCGGUGAACAAAAACCUUUUUGUAGUUGGACGAUUGAUUCUCUGUUUCAUCAUCAUUUUUCCUUUUCCUUUUAAUUGUACGAGGUGAACGUUUUAGAGAGAAAAAACCCGAAAGA